UACGGGGGGGGCAAGCGUUGUUCGGAAUUACUGGGCGUAAAGGGUUCGUAGGUGGCCAACUCAGUCAGACGUGAAAUCCCUCAGCUUAACUGGGGAACUGCGUCUGAGACUGGUGGGCUUGAGUGCAGGAGAGGAACGCGGAAUUCCAGGUGUAGCGGUGAAAUGCGUAGAUAUCUGGAGGAACACCGGUGGCGAAGGCGGCGUUCUGGACUGCAACUGACACUGAGGAACGAAAGCCAGGGGAGCAAACGGG
rnacentral:rRNA from 1 species